rnacentral:rRNA from 1 species
GAGGAGUUCGAAGGUUACCUAGGUCCGGUCGGAAAUCGGACUGAUAGUGCAAUGGCAAAAGGUAGCUUAACUGCGAGACCGACAAGUCGAGCAGGUGCGAAAGCAGGACAUAGUGAUCCGGUGGUUCUGUAUGGAAGGGCCAUCGCUCAACGGAUAAAAGGUACUCCGGGGAUAACAGGCUGAUUCCGCCCAAGAGUUCAUAUCGACGGCGGAGUUUGGCACCUCGAUGUCGGCUCAUCACAUCCUGGGGCUGUAGUCGGUCCCAAGGGUAUGGCUGUUCGCCAUUUAAAGUGGUACGUGAGCUGGGUUUAAAACGUCGUGAGACAGUUUGGUCCCUAUCUGCAGUGGGCGUUGGAAGUUUGACGGGGGCUGCUCCUAGUACGAGAGGACCGGAGUGGACGAACCUCUGGUGUACCGGUUGUAACGCCAGUUGCAUAGCCGGGUAGCUAAGUGCGGAAGAGAUAAGCG